ensembl:lncRNA
UUCUCAACCUGUGGGUCCCCAGGUGAUUUGGCCUACAACUCCCAGAAAUCUCUGUCAGUUUACCAGCUGUUAGGAUUUCUGGGAUUUGAAGGCCAAAACAUCUGGGGACCCACAGGUCGAGAACCACUGACCUAGAAUAUACUCCAGCAGUGGUUUGGCUGCUGUCUCUUUUAAGAACAUGAUCAAAAUAAGCAAUAUGGUGUUUAUUGUACACUGUAAAUUAGCACUGAUGGGCAAAUGCAACAGUUGUAUACUGUAAGUUGUACAAAUCUGGCAGACACAUCAAUUGUAUGAACCUGGUAGGCAUUUAUGAUCUACUGAUGAGGGCCUUCUCUCUGUCCCACCACACACUCAGGCACAUUUGGUAGGGACAUUUGGUAGAGAGGGCCUUUUCAGUAACUGCUCCCAGACUGUGGACUCCCCACUUCCUCAACAGGUCAGGACCUUCUUCUGCCAGUAGGCAUUUGGAGAAGGAUAAAGGGCAUGAUUCUCAGAAAGUGUGGGUGGGCUUUGGGGGAAGGGUGCAUUUUAAAGGCUUAUAUAUUAUAUUUAUUUAUAAUAUUUAUUUAUAGACGCUUUUGAACUGUGGUGUUGGAGGAAAAUUCUGAGAGUGUCUUGGACAGUGAGAAGAUCCAACCAGUCCAUACUCCAGGAAAUAAUGCCCGACUGCUCACUGGAGGGAAGGAUAUUAGAGGCAAAGCUGAAGUACUUUGGCCUCAUAAUGAGAAGACAGGAAAGCUUGGAGAAAAUAAUUAUGCUGGGGGAAAAGGAAGGAAAAAGGAAAAGGGGCUGACCAAGGGUAAGAUGGAUGGAUGGUAUCCUUGAAGUGACUGGCUUGACUUUGAAAGAGAUGGCAUGGAGACAGCCGACAAGGAGCUCUGGACCAAGGAUACUAUCAAUGGAUAGCCACAGAGAAGCCGCAUCAUCAUCUACCAACAUAAUAAAGUUCAAACCAACUCUCAAUUGUCAUUUUUGCACAGCCUGUAUAUUUGUGGAACUAUACAAUUUAUGGUUUUAUCAAGAGCUCCUAAGCUCCACUAGCCCGUGCUCCUGCAUUUCAACCCCCUCUUCAUUCCUUUCCUUUAAAUAAACCUGCUUCGUUUUCAUAACUUUCCAAAGCAGAUAAAAAAUUCUUGAAUUUCUGAAACAUGCAAACUGAUCACUGUGGCAUUAAGAAAUCUUAAGAAGACUUAUUUUUAAGGGGUUUUAUUAGGGAAAUUCCUGCUCUUUAAGAUAUCGGUACGGUUGUCAAAAGCAGUCACUUUUGCAGAUGUUGGGGCUUUUCUUACACUAAUCUGCGAGGAAAGCCUGAGCCACAGAGAUCACUUAGCAAUUUUUAGAUUUAAGGAGAUGAGAGAAGAAAAGCAGGAGAGCCAGUCCCUCUAGGGUCAAGCCUUAUUUGAAUUCAGAGAUCUCCUUCCAAACAUGCAACAGUGUGGUUAAGACUAAUUAAUGCAAGACAGCUUAAGGAGAUUUGAUUGGGAGGGGGGAAUUUCAAUCCAGAAAAGACAAAACACAGCCUCUCUUUCCUAUUCCCCAUCUCCCUGCUUCUAAUUCUGAUACAACAACAAUCCAGUUCUAAUCACACCAGCAAAGUUAUUUUGCACAAGCUUUGAGAAAUCAUUGUGAAAAACAGAAACAUUUUGUGUACUUGUUUCUCCCUGUCCAAAGUUGUAUCCAUCCAUCAAUCACUCUAAUGCCCUGGAGAGCUGGAGAUGUAAAGGAAUUAAGCACUCUCCCUUAUUUAUUAGUCUUGCUAUUAACUCAGUAUUUCUAAUUCGGCAAGUCUUUAACACCUUUUUAAGCUUGAGAAGCACUAAGCCAGCUCUGUUCUUGACUAAUCAUAUCAGCUUAUUUCUGAUAUCUGGAAAUUACAAGAAACACAAUGAAAAAUUACUGUAAACAGUCCCAAAUUCUCAAUAAAUGCGAACAAAUUUUUGCACCUACCAUUUACCAUCCCUUAACUAUGCUCAUCAUCUCGUUUCAUUUUACAUGCAUUAAGGCCAUGAUUGAACCCAACUGGACAAAUCCAAAUCCAAUUUGCUGGCUACUAGUUAUGCAUUGAAGCACUGGGAUCCUAUCUAAAUCAAUCCGCAAACACAAAUUUAACUGUUCAGAUGUUUUUUUUAACACGCUUCUGUCUGAUAAUAAGCAAUGCACAUUAAAUAUAUCAUUGUUUGUUUGCAAUCCAUUUCCUAAUUUACUGAAAUGUUGCAAUGCUUAAUUUUUCUUCCUUCAAAAAGUCAAUGCAUAAUUUUAAAAUAUUUUAAUAUCCCUGUCAGUAUUCACAUAUACAUUUCCUUCUGACAUGUUAGUCCUUUAAUAUCUGAUUACUGUCUAUUUUGUUCCCUUCCUCAGGAGUAUUUUUCAUGCACUGUGCUGUAUAAAUCUGCAUACAUUUUGCUGUGGAUCAGAAAAGACUGGAUAAAAAGUGUGUCUAUUUUGUAGAUAUGACUUGCUGGAAUAAGUUAUUUUCUCUACCAGCUGGUGUUAGUUUCAUAUUGCAUCCAGUCUAUAGCCAUUGAAUGAUAUAUUGUCUUUUACUUGGAUUAUUGGAUGCCAUUGCAUAAUUUAGUGUUUAGCAAAACAUGAAUGCUUCCUUUGCAUCUGUCAACCAUUUGUAGGAAUUGUAUUAGAAGGCAUUUGGCUGUUAAUUUGCUUGCCUAUCAGUAUCUGAAAAUUUCAAAGAUGUCCACAUCAUUUGACCACUUUGGUUGAAUAGCAAUGACAUAUUCACCUCUGUACAGACAAUAUUCUAACGAUGAUGAUCUACUGGUCAAUUAGCUUUUUUAAAAAACAUUAAUCAGGCUCAUUAUAUCUUUCAUAAGGAAUACCAUAAU